rnacentral:lncRNA from 1 species
CCAGCAGCAAGCUACCACAGAAAAAAAGCAUAUGUCCUCUUUCAAAAGAAAAAUCUGCCUUUUUACAGCUACAGAGAAUUGAAAGCAAACUUGAUCAUCAAAUGUGGAGUUGUGCCAAAUCACAGGCAGCCAGAAGAAAGCUCUGGCAUGAAGAAAGCUCUGAAGGUGAGAAGAAUGGAGAUGAAACAGCUUGGAAUGAGAAAAAGAGCAACGAGAUUCCUCCAGCCUGCAGGGGAAACUGUGCCACCCUGUCUCCUGCUUGGUCGCAGGCCUGUUUCUCCGAGAGCGCUGCUGCGAGCUCUGGCUCGUCCAGAACGACGCCUCUCUCCCACGAGGGACACUCGCUGUCAGCACCCUCCACUCCUACUGGGAGGGAAGCUGAGGAUGGAGAAGGCACAGCUGGCACAUGGUCUCCUGCAAAGAGCCUGUACUCACCAAGAAUGGACAACUUCAGGGACCACACAAAUUCAAGGAGGAGUCAAAUAGUACAAAUGGGAAAACCUCCCUGCUCUCUGCAUCACCCAUCCCAUUCCCCUGCAGGGAGCAGUCCGCUCUCUGCUGUGGCACCCGGCAGUGGGAGCAAUGAUCCUGUGCCCACGGCAGUGCUGCUUCCCACGUGCUGCCUUCCACCAGGCAGCAGGCCCAGCGAUUGCAAGCUGGAGGAGGCAUGGAAAAAAUCACCCAAGCAGAAAUUAGAGCAGCUCAAGGAGAGAAUCCGGGAGCAGAAGCAACACCAGCAAGCGGCAGCUCAGGAGCAGAAGUGCCUGAAUGCCACCUAUGCCAAGGAGCCACGGCAAAAGCGAAUGGUGCGCAAAGUUGUUUCUGCUCCUCCUGCUCCAGCUUACAGAGGUUUUAGUGCUGCGAGUCUGAGGUCUGCUCUUUUCUUGCCUGAUGAAGCGCGUGGAAUACCACAGAGAGAAGAAUUUAGCAUGCCUGGAGGACAGCGAGGUUAUAAAAAAGCCCUCAAGAUCCCAGGUAUGAAGCUACCUGGAGCUUCUGCAUGGAGAGAAGAGCCUGGUAGAGGAUUGGUAGCAAUGCCAGCGAUGGAACAGAGCUAUAGAGAAAGGGGAAAUGAACCUCUGGGGAAAAGCCCUGAAUUCAAAAGCUGCAUGGUACCCCCCCGCACGCCUGUUGAAAGGGGCAGAAAUACACCAGGCGAGGAUACAAAGCAAAUACUCAGGAACCUACAUCUGCAAAGCAAACAUCAUGAUGAACACAGAAAUGCCAGGCUCCCAAAAGAUACUGCAAAAGGAAAGCUAGAAGAUCUGCAGCAGUGCAUAGGGAUCAAUUCUCCUUCACCUGGAGUUCAGGUCAUGACUCCCUCUGCCUUCAGUGGAGAAAAGACGAGAUCUUCAUUAAUGAGAGCUGAAACUGAGUACAGAAACUGCAGCAGAGGAAAUAGCACAUCUCCUCAAAGACAGAAAGGCUCAAGGAGCCCGGCACAGAAAGAGUCUGAAAAGGAAAAUCUUAAUCACCCUUCAAGGAGGAGGGCAAACAUGAAAAAACCUCACCC